rnacentral:tRNA from 1 species
GAGGGUAUGGCUCAGCGGUAGAGUGCAUUCUUAGCAUGCACGAGGUCCUGGGUUCAACCCCCAGUACCUCCA